rnacentral:rRNA from 1 species
UACGUAGGGUGCAAGCGUUGUCCGGAAUUAUUGGGCGUAAAGAGCUCGUAGGCGGUUUGUCGCGUCGGCUGUGAAAACUCGGGGCUCAACCCGAGCCUGCAGUCGAUACGGGCAGACUAGAGUGCUGUAGGGGAGACUGGAAUUCCUGGUGUAGCGGUGAAAUGCGCAGAUAUCAGGAGGAACACCGGUGGCGAAGGCGGGUCUCUGGGCAGUAACUGACGCUGAGGAGCGAAAGCGUGGGGAGCAAACAGG